UAUGUGAUCGUCUCUCGCAUAUCAAUAAGCGGAGGAAAAGAAACUAACAAGGAUUCCCUUAGUAACGGCGAGUGAAGCGGGAAGAGCUCAAAUUUGAAAUCUUCAAGGUUUUACCUUGACGAAUUGUAGUUUAAAGAAGUGUUUUCUGUUGAAGUUUUGGUAAAAGUUCUUUGGAAUAGGACAUCAUAGAGGGUGAGAAUCCCGUAUUUGACCAUUAUUUUCAGCUGUGUGAUACACUUUCAAAGAGGUCGGAUUGUUUGGGAAUGCAGUCCAAAAUGGGUGGUAAAUUUCAUCUAAAGCUAAAUAUUGGCGAGAGACCGAUAGCGAACAAGUACCGUGAGGGAAAGAUGGAAAGAACUUUGAAAAGAGAGUUAAACAGUACGUGAAAUUGUCAAAAGGGAAGCGUUUGACACCAGUGUUGUUUUCUCGAAAAUCAAUUAAAAAGAGUUAGAUUUUGUUGUGUAUUGACCUUAACAGCUUGCAUUUCAAUUUUCUUGCUUUUUUUAAUGCACUUUUCGUUUAACAAGUCAACAUCAGUUUCUUUUGUUGUAAAAAGGUCAUUGGAAGGUGGCUUUCUUUUCGGAGAAAGUGUUUAUAGCCUUUGACUCCUGCAAUCGGAGAGACUGAGGUCUGCAGCGUAGAUCCUUCGGGGUUAGAUACAUUUGUGCUAAGUUAUCAGCUUUUUAUAGACAACUUGUUGACUAUGAUUAGUCUUGUAGCUUACUCGCUUAUGCUAUUUUACCUACGCUUAGGAUGUUGAAGAUGUAGCACAUCAU
rnacentral:rRNA from 1 species